AUUGAACGCUGGCGGCAGGCUUAACACAUGCAAGUCGAGCGGAGAUGAGGUGCUUGCACCUUAUCUUAGCGGCGGACGGGUGAGUAAUGCUUAGGAAGCUGCCUAUUAGUGGGGGACAACAUUCCCAAAGGACUGCUAAUACCGCAUACGUCCUACGGGAGAAAGCAGGGUAUCAUCGGACCUGGCGCUAAUCGAUGAGCAUAAGUCUGAUUAGCUAGUUGGUGGGGUAAAGGCCUACCAAGGCGACGAUCUGUAGCGGGUUUGAGAGGAUGAUCCGCCACACUGGGACUGAGACACGGGCCAGACUCCUACGGGAGGCAGCAGUGGGGAAUAUUGGACAAUGGGGGAAACCCUGAUCCAGCCAUGCCGCGUGUGUGAAGAAGGCCUUAUGGUUGUAAAGCACUUUAAGCGAGGAGGAGGCUACUGAGACUAAUACUCUUGGAUAGUGGACGUUACUCGCAGAAUAAGCACCGGCUAACUCUGUGCCAGCCGCCGCCGUAA
rnacentral:rRNA from 1 species